CCUACGGGUGGCAGCAGUGAGGAAUAUUGGUCAAUGGACGAGAGUCUGAACCAGCCAAGUAGCGUGAAGGAUGACUGCCCUAUGGGUUGUAAACUUCUUUUAUAUGGGAAUAAAACGUUCCACGUGUGGGAUUUUGUAUGUACCAUAUGAAUAAGGAUCGGCUAACUCCGUGCCAGCAGCCGCGGUAAUACGGCGGAUCCGAGCGUUAUCCGGAUUUAUUGGGUUUAAAGGGGGCGUAGGUAGAUUUUUAAGUCAGUUGUGAAAGUUUGCGGCUCAACCGUAAAAUUGCAGUUGAAACUGGCAGUCUUGAGUACAGUAGAGGUGGGCGGAAUUCGUGGUGUAGCGGUGAAAUGCUUAGAUAUCACGAAGAACUCCGAUUGCGAAGGCAGUUCACUGGACUGCAACUGACACUGAGGCUCGAAAGUGUGGGUAUCAAACAGGAUUAGAUACCCCUGUAGUC
rnacentral:rRNA from 1 species